UAGGAAACCACCAUUAGAACCACUACUAUUUUGAUGCCACCGAGGUCGUUGGUUCUUGUCAAGAGUACUAUUCUGGUUCUGAAUCGAUUAGUUCGUGCCACUGCUGCUGCUGAGAAGUGAU